rnacentral:rRNA from 1 species
AUUGAACGCUGGCGGAAUGCUUUACACAUGCAAGUCGAACGGUAGAGGGGGCAACCCCUCGAGAGUGGCGAACGGGUGAGUAAUAUAUCGGAACGUGCCCAGUCGUGGGGGAUAACGUAGCGAAAGUUACGCUAAUACCGCAUACGAUCUACGGAUGAAAGCGGGGGAUCGCAAGACCUCGCGCGAUUGGAGCGGCCGAUAUCAGGAUUAGGUAGUUGGUGGGGUAAAGGCUCACCAAGCCAACGAUCUGUAGCUGGUCUGAGAGGACGACCAGCCACACUGGAACUGGGACACGGUCCAGACUCCUACGGGAGGCAGCAGUGGGGAAUUUUGGACAAUGGACGCAAGUCUGAUUCAGCCAUUCCGCGUGCAGGAUGAAGGCCCUCGGGUUGUAAACUGCUUUUGUACGGAACGAAAAGGUUUCCAUUAAUACUGGGAGCUCAUGACGGUACCGUAAGAAUAAGCACCGGCUAACUACGUGCCAGCCGCCGCCGUAA